UACGUAGGGUGCAAGCGUUAAUCGGAAUUACUGGGCGUAAAGCGUGCGCAGGCGGUGAUGUAAGACAGAUGUGAAAUCCCCGGGCUCAACCUGGGAACUGCAUUUGUGACUGCAUCGCUGGAGUGCGGCAGAGGGGGAUGGAAUUCCACGUGUAGCAGUGAAAUGCGUAGAGAUGUGGAGGAACACCGAUGGCGAAGGCAGCCCCCUGGGCUAACACUGACGCCUCAUGCACGAAAGCGUGGGGAGCAAACAGG
rnacentral:rRNA from 1 species